rnacentral:lncRNA from 1 species
UGAUACGAAUUAGGGUUCCUAAGACAUGUAUAUAUAGUGCUUAAGACAUCUCUGGGCGUCACUUAGAGUUUCUUCAAAUGAAAGAAUCAUUUUGGGCUUCAGAAAUGGGCCUUCGGGCUCGGAGUUAGCUGGCUGCGGUCGGGAUGAGUGUGACCGCGGGAAAUGGGUGGCUGGCCGUGGUCGCAGUGCUUCUGACCGCAGGAAAUGCUCUGUUGGCCGCGGGUGGAAACGCUAGCCGGCUGGUUUAUGGGACAUCUUGCU